AUUGAACGCUGGCGGCAGGCGUAACACAUGUAAGUCGAGCGAGUGGCGGACGGGGGCGUGAUGUUUGGGAACCUGUCUAAUGGAGGGGGAUAACUACUGGAAACGGUGGCUAAUACCGCAUACCAUCGGAUGUGCCCAGAUGGGAUUAGCUAGUUGGUGGGGUAACGGCUCACCUAGGCGACGAUCCCUAGCUGGUCUGAGAGGAUGACCAGCCACACUGGAACUGAGACACGGCCCAGACUCCUACGGGAGGAAGCAGUGGGGAAUAUUGCGCAAUGGGGGCAAGCCUGCUGCAGCCAUGCCGGGUGUAUGAAGAAGGCGUUUGGGUUGUAAAGUCCUUUCCGCAGGGAGGCGUUACUCCCCGACGAAGCACCGGCUACCUCCGUGCCAGCCGCCGCGGUAAUUC
rnacentral:rRNA from 1 species